AGGCUGUUGAACUUCUCCAGUCCCUAAGAAAGGGCUGACAGCCUGCAGAGCCCCUACGCUUGUGGGACAUGGCUGAGAUUUGCACUGGAGCCCAGUGAACUAUGAAGUGGACAGUAGAGACCCCUACCCUGGAGGGAGCUGCUUACAGUAAAAACAGGAUACAUGGUGUGAAACCACAGAAUGCAAAAUAUAUUCAAAUCCUGGAAGAGCAACAGGGGUCUUUCUCAGCUCAUGGUCUCCUAUCGUGCUGCUCAGAUGUUCCUUGGAGAUGUUUCCCAGCAUGUACCUUCUUUGUAUUCUAGCCUGAAGAUCAAAUGAUUGUUGAUCCCAAGAUGUCACUGUUGAAUCAUCAAAGUAAUAAUAACUGGGGACCGGGAGCAAAUGGAGGAUGAAAGUAGAGCUGUGCCUGGGAAAGCUAAUUUUAUGGGAGCUGACAGAAAACACACACAUGAUAUCCCAUCAGAAGUUCAAAGAAAAACAUUUUUACUUCCCAGAAGGAAUCUGCACGGUCAUGAAGGAAAUGCUGCAAGUUCAUCACUCCCAGUUGUGCAGUUGUUUGUGUGCUUCACAUAGUUUCAGAACAGACCACUCCUUGCUGUGUUUAUUUCUUGGGUGUGUUUGCCUGGAUAGCUCUGAGCUUCUCUUCCCCAUUUGGGACUCCCCAUCUUUCUGCUUUAUUUCCUCCUCCUUUAAUGACCAAACACAGGAGCAACCUGUCAUACCAGCUGAGACAGAUGGAACAAAGCUUCUCCCCGACGCCAUCAACCGUACUUGCAGAUAGGCUGGGAUGGUAGCUUGCUAGUGAUUGGGCCAAUCCCUCUGCCUUCUAGAGCUGAGCAUGCAAUCUCUGCAGUACUCCCACCUAUUGACAUGGCAGCAAGGGACUGCAUUUGAGAUCUACAUUUGGAUGUCCUUUGCAAAAACAUUGCUCUUUCAUCAGGCCACCAGGCUAGCCCCUCCAGUGCUAAUUUUUGGUUCAGGUGGGUCUACUUCCAGGGAUCAACAAAAGGUGAUUGCUUAUGAAAAGAGUCUUCUAAUAAAGACAGAGCAGAGUUAUGCUUGUCCCUUGGUAACUUCUUAAUACAGAAGGUUCCCUCUUAAGUGUGACCAAUUGUUUUUAUCUUCAGAGGCUUACAAAACAAUUGCCAAAAUCGCAAUGACUAAAGCAUGAAUUUUACAAUGAUCAAACCCAAACGGGGCAGAUGUUCCUGCAUCUGCCACUUCUGUCACAGGUAAUGAGACUUGUGCAGCUUGGGUCUCUCUCUAUCUAAGCUGAAGCAUUUUCCUAUCACCGAUCAGAGAAUUAAUCACACGAGUUAAUGUGGGGUUUGAAAUGAGGCCCUUAGAUUUUUUUUCGUUAAUAACGGAGACUUGACUUUUUCUGAA